CAGUUUUGGUGACUGCGCUCCGCGAAAGCCAGUUACCACAAGUCCAAUGAGUUGGUAGCUCAAAGGACUACGAAGAAACCACCGUUGGUAGCGGUGGUUUUCUUCA
rnacentral:antisense_RNA from 1 species